rnacentral:rRNA from 1 species
CGCGCAGGCGGCCAAGUCAGUCGAAUGUGAAAGCCCCCGGCUCAACUGGGGAAGGUCGUUCGAUACUGCUUGGCUCGAAGAUAGGAGAGGGAAGUGGAAUUUCAGGUGUAGUGGUGAAACGCGUAGAUAUCUGAAGGAACACCAGUGGCGAAGGCGACUUUCUGGCCUAUUCUUGACGCUGAGGCGCGAAAGCUAGGGGAGCGAACG